GCCCUUAUAGCUCAGUGGUAGAGCGUCAGUCUUGUAAACUGAAGGUCCGCAGUUCGAUUCUGCGUGAGGGCA
rnacentral:tRNA from 1 species